rnacentral:rRNA from 1 species
AUUGAACGCUGGCGGCAGGCCUAACACAUGCAAGUCGAGCGAGCGGCGGACGGGUGAGUAAUGUAUGGGGACUGCCCGAUAGAUGGGGAUAACUACUGGAAACGGUGGCUAAUACCUCAUACUCUCGGAUAACCCAUAUGGGAUUAGCUAGUAGGUGGGGUAAAGGCUCACCUAGGCGACGAUCUCUAGCUGGUCUGAGAGGAUGCUCAGCCACACGGGGACUGAGACAAGGCGCCGAUGCCUACGGCUGAAGCAGUGGGGAAUAUGGCACAAUGGGCGAAAGCCUGAUGAAGCCCUGCCGCGUGUAUGAAGAAGGCCUUAGGGUUGUAAAGCACGUUCAGCGGGGAGGCGUUACCCGCAGAAGAAGCACCGGCUAACUCCGUGCCAGCAGCCGCGGUAAUUC